UACAGAGGUCUCAAGCGUUGUUCGGAUUCAUUGGGCGUAAAGGGUGCGUAGGCGGCGCGGUAAGUCGGGUGUGAAAUCUCGGGGCUUAACUCCGAAACUGCAUUCGAUACUGCCGUGCUUGAGGACUGGAGAGGAGACUGGAAUUUACGGUGUAGCGGUGAAAUGCGUAGAUAUCGUAAGGAAGACCAGUGGCGAAGGCGGGUCUCUGGACAGUUCCUGACGCUGAGGCACGAAUGUCAGGGGAGCAAACGGG
rnacentral:rRNA from 1 species